AAUCUGACCAGAUGAAUUUCUCAUGAGCCCAUGAAGGGCUUGCAACUCUCGCCGCCGCCUUCUGAAGGUUCACACCUCAUCCCUCUGAGCAUCAAUUUCUAAUUUUGCCCUGGGACCAACACAACUCGGCAGGGUGUGUCUGGCAGCUACUUCAGAAAACAUGGCCAAGUUUGCCCUGAAUCAGAACCUGCCUGGAACCUUCUGUCCCCAACUGCUUCCUCCUCAUCAUUUCAGUGCUCAACUUUUAAGUCCCUUCCGCAGGAAACCUGCCCUGACAACUAGAGCCAGUCACGCACCUCCUCCCGUUACUCUGUAUUUCAUCUUGUUAUUAUUAGCCCUAAGCAUCAUUUGGAAUGAUCAUGUUUAUUUAUCUCCUGUAAGAGGACAGGGGUUUGUCUGUCUUGUUCACUGAUGUGUCCCCAGCGCCUAGAAAAGUGCUUGGCACAUAGUAGGUGCUCAAUAAGGGUGGGAUUGCUUGACUGUUUGGUGCAGAUAGGCAUUUGGUCCUCGGGCAUGCGUGGGUGCAACGGGGUGUGCAGGGUUUGGUGCUGGUGGAGCCCUGCAGGAUUGUUGUGGGGCGGUGGGGGACGCGCUCUAUCUGUCUGGUUUCUCCUGGGUCGU
rnacentral:lncRNA from 1 species